GGUUAAAUUUAAACUGCAUCAAGGUUCAUGUCUGCAGGCAAUAUAGAUAAUCCUAAAUGUCUUUCCAGGAUACAGUGUUUGUGAGUUUGUAUUUCAUUCAGUAUUGUUUGUGGAUGCGCUGUCUGGUUCCCGCCACGAGGUUAUGCUAUUGAGUCGGAAAAGGCGAGUUGUGAAGGAGAAGAAGAAAACUGUUGUUGUUGUCAUGGUUGCCAAGAGAAGAGGACACUCGUUUUUAGCAGCGGAGAAAGUGUGCCGCCGGACUGUAAGAUUAAAAGUAGACCACAGACAAUAUGCAGCAAGAAAGACUGAGCCACCUCACCCCAAUGUCCAUCAAGCAUGACAUUCUUCAGGCCAUGGAUAUUAAAGAUACAGUCAAGGAGUUUGCGGUGAAAAAGACCAGUAGGAAGCACUAAUGAAGCCAACAGUGAUGUCACAGAGCACCAAUACGCCCAGGACUUCAAGUCUACCUCACUGCAAUAAGGCGAGAAGACCCGGAGUGGAUGUCUGUGGCUCUUUACGGUCCAUUUCCUGGUGAGGAGGCUCUUGAGUGCAGCUAGAGCCAUUCUUUCCCCACACAAUGCUGUGUUCUCAUUAACUCUUAUCAAAGUUCAUCUUGCAUCCAAAUGCUGUGGGCCGCUCAAUACUGACUGCAUUGAAAAGAGAAAAUGAAAAAGACAAAGCAAGCAGUAGACAGAGAGAGAAACAGAAAGAGAGAGAGGGAGAGGGAGAGAGCAUGUAGAUAAAGGACAGGGAAAAUAAUGGUUUAAUGGUGAUUGAGGACGAACAGAAUAAUCAUGGAGUUCUCUGACCAGACUGAAUAUUGGUUUGAUUUUAAACUGGUUUUAAAUGAAACUGUGUUCUUUUCUGAAACUCUUUUUCUGAAACUCUGAUAAGUAUGUUUAAUGUUUAUAUAUAUAUACAUACACACACACAUAUAUACAUAUACAUAUAUAUAGAUAUAUAAACCAAUACUCGUGUUUGUCCAUUUGAAUUUAGGGAGCUGGAAAAGAUGUUAGACAAGAAUGAAGGGUUCGGUCGAAUAAUUAAAUAGAAUUCAUAAUCAUAAUUCAAUCUUACCCACACAAUGGAGGCAUUUUGAAUGCCCUCAUGUUAUUUGCUUUCAGUCCACCAUCAAAAGAAAAAUGCCUGUUCCAAUACUUACUAGUGACUACAAGGAGCUAGGUGGAGAUGAAAACGCUGUCCCAAUUCCAAUAAACAGAGGACACAAGCAGGUGGAGACAUAAAGCAAGUACUUAGUGCAGUCCUUACUUGAUUUGUUCAGAUGAUUAGAUAUCACCCUGUAAUUCUAUCUGUAAGUAUCAUCUACCUCUCCUCAUGAACAUACACAGCUACUCCUCCUCCUGUAUCAUCAGAUCCUACAGUGCAGCUGGAUUUCCUCAUUGAGAUGUAAAGAGACAUAAUUGGAGACUGAUUGCAGCCUUCAAUGACUAUCACACGAUGCUUAAACACACAAGAGCCCUAUUUACAAUAAGAAAAAAAAUACCCUGCUGUCUGAUGAGGGCUUUCAUCUAAACCCGCUUCGUAUAAUAUAAUAUGAUGGAUUUUGUACUCGAUGUCUGCUGCUACCUUUGAAUGCAUUAUGCCCAGCGCCAGCCAAUUUGCUGUUAAGAGCCAACAUAACGUGUGUCCAGUUGCUCCAUAUUCAUGUAUUUGCCUUUUAAUGACUCUCUGACAUCAGCAUACUGAAAAUGUCAGGAGGCAAUGCUGUGAUCUGGGACUGGAUGACAUGAUGUUAGUCUUGCUGUAAUGCCAUGACUGUCGUACGCAAUCGUACGUAGCAGCAGUCAGAUAUUUGCCAGAAAUCCUGACUGAGGAGCUGUUUGAAUAACAGAUUAUUUAAUUCAUGUUAAAAAAGUUCAAAGAUGAUACAUUCCUACAAAUGGACACAAUAUUUUGUCUUACAUGAAUGGCAAAUUGAAAGAUGAGGCUCGGAUUAUUCUGUAUUUUUCUUAUUGUCAAUAUAUCACAUGAAAAUGCCAAAACCAACAAUGCAGUAGUCCAUCUCUCAAUACUUUCCAACUUCCCUACACUGUCAAGUCCAUUUCUUCCUCCUGAAGAUGUCAAUCUUUAAAAAAAGAGCUCGCAAACACAAUACACAGCUGCAUUUGUAGCCAUGCUCUGAGGAUAACAAUGUGUCCACCACUUUGAUCUAGACUGAGAUAUCUUUGGGAUGGAUUAAGAUGAAAUUUUGUACAGACAUUUGUGUCCCUCUCAGGAUGAAUUGUAAUAAUUCUGAUGAUUCUUUAACUUUUCCUCUGGCACCAUCAUCACAUCAACAUUUUUAUUCGUCAGAUAUAGCUUGGUUUACCUGCAAAACCAAUGACAUCCCAUCAUUCUCAGCUGUAGUUUUUGUUGAGUGCUAAUUACCAAAAUUUUGCAUGCUGACACCCAAAAUAAGAUGUUUUAGCAUUCAGCUCAAAGCACCUCUGCUGCUACUGCUGCUAGUAAGGCUGUAGACUUAGUCUUGGUAAGAAAGGCGCAGUAAUUUCUUUCAGUUUUAAGCAAACAUCACAAUAAAUUGUGCAUUUUUGGGGAAUGACCUAUAUAUUAAUCAUAAUGAAAUAACGUUUCACCCAGUUCAACAGUGUUGCUCAGUGAUGUGUUUUUAAUAGUUUUGGACAACAAUGGAAGUCUAUGGGUGUUAGUAGUAUGUCUGUUAAGGUCCCUUCCAUGUUGAGAAAUGUUACAGAGUUGUUCAGAAUGACAACACGCAUGAAGAGGAAUGGUGCCAAUAGAUGGGAGAAAUAUUUGUAUAAUGACUGUUUUGUCAACAUCUUUUAAAAGGACCUUAGAAGAGACAAGUAGGCAAGAUGUUUGAAUUGCUAGCAAGUGACAGCAUUGUUCAACACAGCUAAUAUUGCUAGACUGAAAUUACUACAUUUUCCAGGUUGCAAAUGUUUGCAGUCUAGCUUAUAUUGGUCGACUGUACUUGUCUUUGCCAGUAGUUUCAUAUAACAGCUGCCAAUACAAUGUUCAAGUUAGUAGGGUUAACAUAAGAGAUGAUCUAUGCCAAAACAGGACAUUUGCUCAUUGUGCAUUUAUUGCACCCAUAGGGCUGGACAUGGAAUGAUGGACAUGUAUUGUUAUUUCAAAUGUAGUCAGUUAUCACAGAAAGAUUUCAGAUUUUAUAACCUGGGAGCUUCUAGAUGGAGAAAGUGUGCAUGAAGCAGCAGUCGAAACAAAGAGAGAAAAUGGUGGCAAGGUGGCUGCAGAAUAAAUGAGGCAUUCGGGAGGAGUGUUUUGUCUGCGGAGACUUUGUGAGUAAUUGUCAGUGCUGUGGUGGGUGAUUAUUAGUAGAGAUGCUUAAAGCAAACCUAACUGGCUCUAUAGGCUUCUUCCCAGCUCAAAGCUCACACACAGCCCCACAGCACACAUCCACUCACAAUUCAGUAGCAUGACCACUUUUGAAACCCUUCUCCCUCCAUCGUGACUCUGCCUCUGCUGCCAGAUAAACGCCCAGAGGAGACUGUCUGAUACCAUAAACACCACCAAAGAAUUUAACCAUGAUGGAUGAUGUUGAGAGUGGCUCCAAUUUUCUCAGGGACACUCUCUUACAAUCCCCCAACUCCAAUAUGAAGGCAUUUUCAAAUUGAUAACUCAUGUUACUGAGUCAUACUGUACAUUCUGGGCCAAAUAAACCUCUUGAGUUAUUUAGUAGAAACUGCUUGUGCCUGUGAGAGAAUCAGGUCUGUAAGGAAAAAGAUAGUUUAAGGGAUUAGAUGUUCUUUGCGACUAAUGGGUAUGUGUAAAUGUGUGUGUGUGUGUCUGGGUAUUGCUUAAUGUGUGUGUUUAGAGACAGCCUUAGGUCUUUGGAAUGGCACUGUUCUGCUGCUCCCACUUUAAUUGGCUGCUGGCCCCUCAGCCUCGCCUGAAUGGAGAGUCAUUUAGGGACCUUUCACUCUCAUAGAGGAUUGUCGGUUGCCGCUGCAGGAGAAAUUGCAUUCCUGUUUCCAUACAAUGGCUGGUCGGAGUUGGACGGGGCAAGAGUAUCACUGUCAUUAUCAUGACAAUGGAAGCUAAUUCCACUGCCACUAGCGCCAUUCUGAAACCCUCUGCAGCACCAGCUUAUCAGGGGGCACCAUGAGAGCAGCAGGAAGCUAUGCGAGUGCCGCAUCUGAGGCGAAGAUUCACAUAUACAGCACACACUCACAGACACACACACACUCACACACACAAACAGGACUCAUACUCUGUUUAGAGACGCUGUCAUAGGCAUGAAGUAACACAUCAGCAGUAAAAGUUUAUUAGACAGCACAGCUCACUUAGUGCGCACACUGUGUUGACAAAUAUGACUGUAUAUUCAUCUUUUCCUCAACAUAGACAUGAUCCAUUUCUGCAAUGAUUCAGUGGUGCCAUGUUCUAUUAGCAGCAUGACAACUCUUACCUUGCGAGGCAGCUGGAUUCACGACAUCACAAGAUCAUGCAGUGCUGUGUAACAAAACAUCUGGCGCGUCAGGUUACGACAACUCAUGUUGUGCAGCCAAACAUUGUUCAAAACCACUGAAUUUUAUUUAAAAUAGUUUCCAACGAUACUAUUAAAGAAAAUGUAUAUAAAAUUUUGCACAAGACAUCUAGAUUAUUUCCAUUUGAUGGAAUGAUGCAGACAGAAAACAUGGAGUCUCGGGCUUACAUAUGUUACUCAGUGUAAACAGCACAUAGUUGGAACAAGA